rnacentral:rRNA from 1 species
CGGGACAGCCUCGGGAAACCGUGGGUAAUACCGGAUACUCCGGGACGGCCGCAUGGCCGGCCCGGGAAAGCCCAGACGGGAGGGGAUGGGCCCGCGGCCUGUUAGCUGGUCGGCGGGGUAACGGCCCACCGAGGCGAUUAUGGGUAGCCGGGUUGAGAGACCGACCGGCCAGAUUGGGACUGAGACACGGCCCAGACUCCUACGGGAGGCAGCAGUGGGGAAUCUUGCGCAAUGGGCGGAAGCCUGACGCAGCGACGCCGCGUGCGGGACGAAGGCCUUCGGGUCGUAAACCGCUUUCAGCAGGGACGAGGCCCUCACGGUGACGGUACCUGCAGAAGAAGCCCCGGCUAACUACGUGCCAGCAGCCGCGGUAAUACGUAGGGGGCGAGCGUUAUCCGGAUUCAUUGGGCGUAAAGCGCGCGUAGGCGGCCUGUUAGGUCGGGGGUCAAAUACCGGGGCUCAACCCCGGUCCGCCCCCGAUACCGGCAGGCUUGAGUCUGGUAGGGGAAGGCGGAAUUCCCAGUGUAGCGGUGGAAUGCGCAGAUAUUGGGAAGAACACCGGCGGCGAAGGCGGCCUUCUGGGCCACGACUGACGCUGAGGCGCGAAAGCUAGGGGAGCGAACAGGAUUAGAUACCCUGGUAGUCCUAGCCGUAAACGAUGGA